rnacentral:ncRNA from 1 species
UGAUCCUGCCAGUAGUCAUAUGCUUGUCUCAAAGAUUAAGCCAUGCAUGUGCAAGUAUGAACCAAUUUGAACUGUGAAACUGCGAAUGGCUCAUUAAAUCAGUUAUAGUUUGUUUGAUGGUACGUGCUACUCGGAUAACCGUAGUAAUUCUAGAGCGUAUACGUGCAACAAACCCCGACUUUUGGGAGGGGCGCAUUUAUUAGAUAAAAGGCUG